rnacentral:rRNA from 1 species
CCUACGGGGUGCAGCAGUAGGGAAUUUUGCGCAAUGGGGGAAACCCUGACGCAGCAACGCCGCGUGAUCGAUGAAGCCCUUCGGGGUGUAAAGAUCUGUCAGUGGGGACGAAACCUGACGGUACCCACAGAGGAAGCACCGGCUAACACCGUGCCAGCAGCAGCGGUAAUAAGGGGGGGGCAAGCGUUGUACGGAAUCAUUGGGCGUAAAGAGUUCGUAGGUGGCACGGUACGUCUGGUGUUAAAGGCGGAAGCUCAACUUCCGUAGGGCACUGGAUACUGGCUAGCUUGAAUGCGGUAGAGGGAGAGGGAAUUCCGGGUGUAGCGGUGAAAUGCGUAGAUAUCAGGAGGAACACCGGUGGCGUAAGCGCUUUACUGGGCCGUAAUUGACACUGAGGAACGAAAGCCGGGGUAGCAAAUGGGAUUAGAUACCCGAGUAGUC